GGGAUGAACGCUAGCGGGAGGCCUAACACAUGCAAGCCGAGCGGUAGAGAUUCUUCGGAAUCUUGAGAGCGGCGUACGGGUGCGGAACACGUGUGCAACCUGCCUUUAUCUGGGGGAUAGCCUUUCGAAAGGAAGAUUAAUACCCCAUAAUAUAUUGACUGGCAUCAGUUGAUAUUGAAAACUCCSGUGGAUAGAGAUGGGCACGCGCAAGAUUAGAUAGUUGGUGAGGUAACGGCUCACCAAGUCUACGAUCUUUAGGGGGCCUGAGAGGGUGAUCCCCCACACUGGUACUGAGACACGGACCAGACUCCUACGGGAGGCAGCAGUGAGGAAUAUUGGACAAUGGGUGAGAGCCUGAUCCAGCCAUCCCGCGUGAAGGACGACGGCCCUAUGGGUUGUAAACUUCUUUUGUAUAGGGAUAAACCUACUCUCGUGAGAGUAGCUGAAGGU
rnacentral:rRNA from 1 species